UUUUCGGUGGCUCAGUCAGUAGAACAUUGCAUUAGCAACUCAAAAGUUGUGGGUUCAAACCCCAGGGAAAG